UACGUAGGUGACCAGCGUUGUCCGGAUUUACUGGGCGUAAAGAGCGCGCAGGCGGUCGUUCAAGUCGAGUGUGAAAGCCCCCGGCUCAACUGGGGAGGGUCACUCGAUACUGAUCGACUUGAAGGCAGGAGAGGGAAGCGGAAUUCCCGGUGUAGUGGUGAAAUGCGUAGAUAUCGGAAGGAACACCAGUGGCGAAGGCGGCUACCUGGAUUGACACUGACACUGAGGCGCGAGAGCGUGGGGAGCAAACAGG
rnacentral:rRNA from 1 species